AUGCUUACCUGGCAGGGGAGACACCACGAUCAGGAAGGUGGUUUUCCCAGGGCAAGGCUCAUCCUUUGCACUCCAGGUGUGCUGACCCCUGUCAUUUCCCCAAAUGUGGAAAACUCGACUGUGUAACUUGAAGUAGUGGGGGACUGCAUUCACACUCUCCCCAG